CGCGGCUCUCAUCCUCGUGCCGGAGGUACCGGAUCAGAUCCUUCACGCUCUCGAGGCAGUCGGGUUCGCGGUGGUACGCGUCGCCCUCCAGGUAGCCCAGGGCGCUGCAGGUGGCCAGCAGCUCGCAGUUCAUCAUGUACCAGUCCAUGCAGCGCGGUGCGGGCGCGGGGAGCCGGGCAAGACCCGGCGGGGCGGAGCAGCCCGACCCCGGUCCCGGGGCACCGGGCGGCUCUGAGGGUCCGGGUCCGGGUCCGGGUCCGAGCCGCAAUCCCAAUCCCGAUCCGGAUCCCGAUCGCGGUACCGAAAGCCCCCAGCCCCGCACGCUCCCGCCGCCGUUACACAACCGUCCCAGUUCCCG
rnacentral:lncRNA from 1 species